rnacentral:lncRNA from 1 species
UUGCUUCCCACACAGAAAGCCAAUCACUGAGACAAUGAGUAAUGCCAGGGAAAAAGGCUUUAUUAUGGGUGACAUCAGCCAAAGAGAUGAACACCAUGAAGUCAUCUUCUACUUACUCACAAUUGGAUUAUAAACUGUGUGAGGGCAGAGCCUAAGACUAACUCAUGUCUGCGUUCUAAGAUACUGGAGCAGUGUCUGGCUCAUAAAGGACAUCAAUGGGUGUCCUAAAUACAUGUCAAUUGCUUGAAUUGAAUGACAGGGCAGAUUGGCUAUGGGGCAGGUCUCAGAGUGUGUAGGUUUAUUCCUAGAGCAUAUGGGCCCGGAACUUUCUUCAGGAAAGAAGGUCUGGGAAGUAUGUGUGCAGUGACAUUUCUUGUGUUCCUCCCUAACUUGAAAAUCCCCCUCUUCUGACAACAGUGAGGCUCUAGGACCCUGUCCUUACACUUAGUGGACCCAAGCAUGGAGCAUGUGACCCUGGCCAGAGCCAAUCAGAAUAUCCCUGGCCAGUGGUUCAGGAGUGGGCACAUAAGCUAAGUCAGCCCAGCAAGAAUGAAUCUUAGGACUUCUUCAAAAAUUACUGGAAAAGACACUUGCUCUUUCCUGCUGAACUUGAAUAGAAAGCUGGAGUCACUGGAGCUCUCAUGCCACUAUAGGGACCAUCGGAAUGAAGCCAACACACCAAGGAAAGCCAGAAUGCUGAAAGACACUAGUUACUGCUGAAAUAGCUUGAAGCAAGUAACCAGUUUUACCCUUGGACUUUUCCUAUUCCUAGGUAUAAGUCCAACUAGUAGAGCCACGUCUCUAGGAAGGUCAGCAAGACAGGAGCCUUUUUUAUUGUUAUUCUUUAGCAUUAAAUAAAGGCUGGAGAUUGGACAUUUCAAGCUCCAGGGUCUAUGUUUGGAUCUUUAUCAUCAGCCUUGAAUGCUUGAAAAUGAUACCACAAUGGCCUAAGAAUAUGAUGAUGAAUUGUAUGUAAGCUGUCUGCAUAUCAGAAUUUAUAAUUCUAUCUAGGAUUCGGAUCCAAAGCAAAUUCUCUUAUGUUUUAUUUUCUUCCCAUUUCCUCCUCCACAUUUCCCAGCCUACUAGCAACUAGCCAUUAACCAGUCAUAGCCAGUGACAUGUGGGCAGAAGUGAUGUGUGUCACUUCUGGCUGAGAGAGCAAAAAGCCCAGGUUCAAUUCUCCUCCUCUCUGUAGCAACAGGGGAUGCCAUGUAUUCCAGAUGGUGCAGCUACAGCUAAAAAUGACAGCAAAGCCAUCAGCCUAAGACCUUGAGAGACUCUAUGGAGCAGAGUCCUCUGGCAACCUGCAAUGGGAUGUGAGGUCUGCAUGAGAAAAAAAGAACCACUUCUAUUGAGUUAAGCCACUGAGAUCUGGAGGCUGAUGUUUAAAGAAGCAUAACUGGCCAAUUUCUACAAUUCAUGGAGAUUUAGCUUGUAGAUUCCGAGCAUAGUGAACCAUGG